rnacentral:rRNA from 1 species
AUUGAACGCUGGCGGCAUGCCUUACACAUGCAAGUCGAACGGCAGCAUGAUCUCGCUUGCUAGAUUGAUGGCGAGUGGCGAACGGGUGAGUAAUACAUCGGAACGUGCCCUGUAGUGGGGGAUAACUAGUCGAAAGAUUAGCUAAUACCGCAUACGACCUGAGGGUGAAAGUGGGGGACCGCAAGGCCUCAUGCUAUAGGAGCGGCCGAUGUCUGAUUAGCUAGUUGGUGAGGUAAAGGCUCACCAAGGCGACGAUCAGGAGCUGGUCUGAGAGGACGAUCAGCCACACUGGGACUGAGACACGGCCCAGACUCCGACGGGAGGCAGCAGUGGGGAAUUUUGGACAAUGGGCGAAAGCCUGAUCCAGCAAUGCCGCGUGUGUGAAGAAGGCCUUCGGGUUGUAAAGCACUGUUGUCCGGAAAGAAAUGGCUCUGGUUAAUACCUGAGGUCGAUGACGGUACCGGAAGAAUAAGGACCGGCUAACUACGUG